rnacentral:rRNA from 1 species
AGAGUUUGAUCCUGGCUCAGGAUGAACGCUGGCGGCGUGCUUAACACAUGCAAGUCGAGCGAUUUACUUCGGUAAAGAGCGGCGGACGGGUGAGUAACGCGUGGGUAACCUGCCCUGUACACACGGAUAACAUACCGAAAGGUAUGCUAAUACGAGAUAAUAUGUUUUUAUCGCAUGGUAGAAGUAUCAAAGCUUUUGCGGUACAGGAUGGACCCGCGUCUGAUUAGCUAGUUGGUAAGGUAACGGCUUACCAAGGCGACGAUCAGUAGCCGACCUGAGAGGGUGAUCGGCCACAUUGGAACUGAGACACGGUCCAAACUCCUACGGGAGGCAGCAGUGGGGAAUAUUGCACAAUGGGCGAAAGCCUGAUGCAGCAACGCCGCGUGAGCGAUGAAGGCCUUCGGGUCGUAAAGCUCUGUCCUCAAGGAAGAUAAUGACGGUACUUGAGGAGGAAGCCCCGG